rnacentral:rRNA from 1 species
UACGAAGGGGGCUAGCGUUGCUCGGAAUGACUGGGCGUAAAGGGCGCGUAGGCGGUUUGCAUAGUCAGACGUGAAAUUCCUGGGCUUAACCUGGGGGCUGCGUUUGAUACAUGCAGGCUUGAGUUCGGAAGAGGGUCGUGGAAUUCCCAGUGUAGAGGUGAAAUUCGUAGAUAUUGGGAAGAACACCGGUGGCGAAGGCGGCGACCUGGUCCGAUACUGACGCUGAGGCGCGAAAGCGUGGGGAGCAAACAGG